rnacentral:rRNA from 1 species
ACGGAAGGCAGCAGUGGGGAAUAUUGGGCAAUGGGCGCAAGCCUGACCCAGCAAUGCCGCGUGAAGGAAGAAGGCUUUCGGGUUGUAAACUUCUUUUAUAAGGGACGAAGAAAGUGACGGUACCUUAUGAAUAAGCCACGGCUAACUACGUGCCAGCAGCCGCGGUAAUACGUAGGUGGCAAGCGUUAUCCGGAUUUACUGGGUGUAAAGGGCGCGUAGGCGGGAAGGCAAGUCAGGUGUGAAGUCUAUGGGCUUAACCCAUAAACUGCAUUUGGAACUGUCUUUCUUGAGUGCUGGAGAGGUAGACGGAAUUCCUUGUGUAGCGGUGAAAUGCGUAGAUAUAAGGAAGAACACCAGUGGCGAAGGCGGUCUACUGGACAGUAACUGACGCUGAGGCGCGAAAGCGUGGGGAGCAAACAGGAUUAGAUACCCUGGUA